GUAAGUGCGUAUGUGUAUGAAAAUUUGCACACAUAUUUAAUAUAUUUCAGGAUACAGUUUGUCUAUGAAAAAGACAGUGCUUUUCUACUUUUUACACAGACACUAUGGAUUGGCAUCACCCACCAUGUGUGCAACAUUCACACAUGGAAAACAGGAAAAUGCGAACACGGACAUCUGGAAGAACUGCAUGGAAAGGAGUGGAUCCAGAGAGACUCCAAAUGCCACAAAGCUUUAAUAGACAUUAUUCUCAAUAAGCGUUGGCAGAAGAAUGUUCAUAAAUACCUACGCUUCAGAUCAACUGCUGACCUAGAAGCAUUCCAGAACCAUAUUAUGAUGUAUGCCAGCAAGUGUCAUGCUUUCAGUCCCCCGGUUUAUGAGGCAAGAGUUCUGCUGGCUGCUCUUGACUACAACUUCCAUCGGAACUGACCAACAAUGAAAACAGCCGAAGGCAAAGAGAUUUUCAGAAGGCUGAACAACAAAAACGCCAGAAGAUACAGUGUGUAUGCCCUGAAAUCUGAAAAAAAACUACAGCUAUAUCCCGGAGCUGCAGGAACGAAUUCUUAAAAGAAGACUUGUGACUGAGGUGGGGAUGCCACGAAGACGGAGCCUUCGACCAGAUGACGCCAGGAGGCUCGGUUUGGUGCCCCCCAUACCUGCACCUGCCACAUCAGAACUUGUGCCAACACAAGUCAGGAGAGGU